rnacentral:rRNA from 1 species
UCGGAACGAGGUCCAUGGAGCUUGCUCCGGAAGGACCUAGUGGCGAACGGGUGCGUAACACGUGAGAAAUCUGCCCCGGACUCUGGAAUAACAGUUGGAAACGACUGCUAAUACCGGAUGCCUUCAUUUGGCCGCAUGGUCGUUUGAAGAAAGAUUUAUCGGUUUGGGAGGAUCUCGCGGCCUAUCAGCUUGUUGGAGAGGUAACGGCUCACCAAGGCAUCGACGGGUAGCUGGUCUGAGAGGAUGAUCAGCCACACUGGAACUGAGACACGGUCCAGACUCCUACGGGAGGCAGCAGUGGGGAAUCUUGCACAAUGGGCGAAAGCCUGAUGCAGCGAUGCCGCGUGCGGGAAGAAGGCCCUAGGGUUGUAAACCGCUUUCAGGAGGGAAGAAAAUGACGGUACCUCCAGAAGAAGGUGCGGCCAACUACGUGCCAGCAGCCGCGGUGACACGUAGGCACCAAGCGUUAUCCGGAUUUAUUGGGCGUAAAGAGCUCGUAGGCGGUUUGGUAAGUCGGGUGUGAAAACUCUGGGCUCAACCCAGAGAGGCCACUCGAUACUGCUAUGACUAGAGUACGGUAGGGGAGCGGGGAAUUCCUGGUGUAGCGGUGAAAUGCGCAGAUAUCAGGAGGAACACCAGCGGCGAAGGCGCCGCUCUGGGCCGUAACUGACGCUGAGGAGCAAAAGCAUGGGUAGCAAACAGGAUUAGAUACCCUGGUAGUCCAUGCCGUAAACGUUGGGCACUAGGUGUGGGUCUCAACCAACGAGAUCCGCGCCGUCGCUAACGCAUUAAGUGCCCCGCCUGGGGAGUACGGUCGCAAGACUAAAACUCAAAGGAUUUGACGGGGGCCCGCACAAGCAGCGGAGCGUGUGGUUU